rnacentral:rRNA from 1 species
UACAGAGGUCUCGAGCGUUAGGCGGAAUCACUGGGCUUAAAGCGUGUGUAGGUGGAUCGUUAAGUGCCUUGUGAAAUCCCACGGCUUAACUGUGGAACGGCUGGGCAUACUGGCGGUCUUGAGCCAUCUAGGGGCGACUGGAACAAACGGUGGAGCGGUGAAAUGCGUAGAUAUCGUUUGGAACGCCAAUGGUGAAAACAGGUCGCUGGGGAUGAGCUGACGCUGAGACACGAAAGCCAGGGGAGCAAACGGG